rnacentral:rRNA from 1 species
CCUACGGGUGGCAGCAGUGGGGAAUAUUGGGCAAUGGGCGCAAGCCUGACCCAGCAACGCCGCGUGAAGGAAGAAGGCUUUCGGGUUGUAAACUUCUUUUAAGAGGGAAGAGCAGAAGACGGUACCUCUUGAAUAAGCCACGGCUACCUACGUGCCAGCGGCCGCGGUAUUCCGUAGGUGGCAAGCGUUGUCCGGAUUUACUGGGUGUAAGGGGCGUGUAGCCGGGCUGACAAGGCAGAGGUGAAAUUCCGGGGCUCAACCCCGGACCUGCAUUUGAAACUGUUGGUCUUGAGUGUCGGAGAGGCAGGCGGAAUUCCUAGUGUAGCGGUGAAAUGCGUAGAUAUUAGGAGGAACACCAGUGGCGAAGGCGGCCUGCUGGACGACAACUGACGGUGAGGCGCGAAAGCGUGGGGAGCAAACAGGAUUAGAUACCCGAGUAGUC